rnacentral:rRNA from 1 species
UUGACGAUAAGAUUUCGGCCUCCUGUUUGCAUGUUUGUGCGCUUUGGGUGUACUUUUUCGUAUGGUUGGCCAACAUCAGUUUCGAUUACUAUAAAAUGACUGGCGGAAUGUAGCUUCCAUUUCGGUUGAAGUGUUAUAGCCUCCGGUAGAUGUGGUGAUUGAGACUGAGGAUUGCAACGAAUAUCCUUUGGGCUAUCCGUCUGGCCUCUGAAAGUUGCUUGGGUGCUGAAAGCUUGCUUAUGGUUAUCUAAGUUAACGGUCAAUAGGUUAGAACGUGAUUACAUUCGUUAAGGAUGUUGACGUAAUAA